AAAACAACUCAAGAAAUACUAAAUGUAUAUAAAGAUAAUUGAAGGACAUUUAAACUACAUUUUAAACUAUAAUAUUCCACAAUAUUAUCAGGCAAAUGUUUUAAACCUGCACUUAAGUAAAUGUAGAGGCAUCAUAACUAGUUAAAAACAGAUAUGCUCUAGUCUAGUCUAUAAAUGUACAUUAAUUUCUUCAGACAGGAUACACACUGGAUGAGUGAAACCUGACCCUAAUAAAUUAACCUGAAUAACUCUAACCCCAGACUUUAUUAUAAGGCCAAAUUUAAAUCCGAUGGAGUUUCAAAGUGUCACUGCACACCAGCUCGUACUAGCACAUGUUUCCAGAGGGACUUUGAUGGUGAGAUAUGUCAUGAUGUCUCAAACUCCCCCUCUGCUUACUGGUUAAGCAAACGUAUUUAACCUCCUAGGACCUGGCGUCCACAUAUGUGAACAUCACAUUUUGGGUUAUUUAGACCAAAAUACUCAAUUUUGCUCUACAAGGGCCUGAUAUCCACUUACGAGGACGUUAUACUGCUACUGUUCUAUCAAAAUUUUAAACGAAUAUCCUCAUAUGUGGCUCUGAUUUUUCAUAAAAACAACAAUAAGUUAAAAAAAAAAAAAUCUGGUAAUUCUUUGUUUUUACAUUAAUUGGGCCCCAAUAUGCCCAAAUAUCAAAGAAAAAUUUAAAAUGCAGAGUUCGGGUCUUAGGAGGUUAAUGCAAAUAUAGUCAUUGGUUGGAAAAAAUAGUGGUUACUUAUGUUAAACUGGAGAAUUUUUCUUUGUGUGCUUCUUAUGUAACUGGCUGGGCAAGGAGAGGAGAGAACCUGCUACAGUGUGCGUGCUUUACCUUUAACGUCAGUGUUAUUUACAUGUCAGGGUGCACCUUUGCGGUAUAACUGGUUUGAGCGAGCUGUCGGAAAACACGAAAAUAAGCUUCUUAUCUGAUGAGCACUUUUGUUUGAAUCAUUUUUACACAUACACUGGAGGGUGAGACUUCAGAGAAGACAUUUUUAAAUUUUAGUUUUUUAUUCCCUUUGCUGUUUUGUUUUUUUUUUAAAUCAGGGAUCAUUUCUUUCCUCUUGUCUUUCUUGUUUUCUCUUUCCCCUCAUCCCCCGAAGAAUUUGCAGCAGGUGGCCGCCUCUUCCUGAGCCUGCUGCUGCUGGAGGUGUCUUCCUGUUAAAAGGCAGUUUUUACUUCCCCACUGUUGCCAAGUGAUGGCUCAUAAGGGGGCUUGGUUGUUAAGAAUUUCUCCAGAAUACUGUAGGAUGUACCUUACAGUAUAAAGCAACGUGAGGUGAUUGUUGUUGCGAUUUGGCACUGGCAAUGUAAACUAAUCUGCAUUAAAGUGAAUUGAAUUGAACUGAUCUUUGCAAACCUAUGCCAGGUUACCUGUUCUUUUUAGAGAGAAGAGCCUUUAGUGGUCAACUUUUCCACGCAAGUCUUGUUCACUCAUUGACUUUUUUUUCCAAUUUUACUGUCAUGAGGCCUGCACAGGAAAUCUGGUUGCAUGCUUUGGCAUGAGUUUUAAAAAAUCCUGCAAAGCAAACGCUUAGCUGCUGCUCUACCUAUGCAGACCUACCUAGCUAUAUAUGACAAAGUGAUUGCCCCUUAUUAACCUAAUAAGUUGCUUUGGAAACCUUGGCAGCUUGAGAUAACUCUUUACUGUCAUUGCACAGUAAUUCGUUGUACUAUUGUACUAGGUACGACUGUGCAAUGACAAU
ensembl:lncRNA